GUGGGGAAUAUUGGUCAAUGGGCGGGAGCCUGAACCAGCCAAGUCGCGUGAAGGAAGAAGGAUCUAUGGUUCGUAAACUUCUUUUGCAGGGGAAUAAAGUGCAGGACGUGUCCUGUUUUGUAUGUACCCUGAGAAUAAGGAUCGGCUAACUCCGUGCCAGCAGCCGCGGUAAUACGGAGGAUCCGAGCGUUAUCCGGAUUUAUUGGGUUUAAAGGGUGCGUAGGUGGUUUGAUAAGUCAGCGGUGAAAGUUUGCAGCUUAACUGUAAAAAUGCCGUUGAAACUGUCGGACUUGAGUGUAAAUGAGGUAGGCGGAAUGCGUGGUGUAGCGGUGAAAUGCAUAGAUAUCACGCAGAACUCCGAUUGCGAAGGCAGCUUACUAAGCUACAACUGACACUGAAGCACGAAAGCGUGGGGAUCAAACAGGAUUAGAUACCCUUGUAGUCC
rnacentral:rRNA from 1 species